ACUGGUGGGAUGUGGACUUUCGGAAAACUUUCCGAGUCCCCCGGGCCGAGGUGUUUCCAAGGGCAGGAAGUCGCCCCGGAUGGCACGGCGGGGGCGGGGGGGGCAGCAGGAACCCCUCAUUUCGAGGCAUGAGGGCUUUAAAACUCCCCAAAGGAGAAUGCCGACUGCUCCCCCGAGUAGGAGGUGUCCUGGAGAGGUUUGUCAGCAGGAGCUUAGGCUCAGGGUCACUCCAUGAAUAUUUCUUAUUCCUUCUUUCUCUUGAGAUACUACAGCCUGUAAUCUAAGUGCCUCAAGACUGCUGUACACAAUCUGAGCCGCUCAUAUCUUUCUGUACGUUGACAAAUGGAACAUGCGGCACAAAAUUAAUGGAGGAGGAAGGUCUUGGCCCUCACCCUGCAUGGGCAGCAGCCUCCACUGGUACUCCAAGCCACUACUCCUCUGCCUGUGGUGUGCGCAGUGUUUGUGUUUGUAAACACCUCCUGACGUGUUUUCCAUUUGGGAAACCAGGAGGAGACCUGCACGCCGACCACGGUGGAGCUUGGUGCCACUUGGGGUAAACAGGAGCAAGAAAGGGCCCAUGGGGUGAAGUGUGCUUCCAUCAAACCUUUGCUCCUCAGGUACAGCAAGUGGUACCCAGGUGGGCAUUUGUCCUUUCCUGGCAUGCAAACAGCUGCAGUGCGUGCCUUAUGAAUAAACCGGCUAUUAGGCUGAUGCUUCAAGUAACAUUAUCCAGCACCAAGCAGCUUGAAUUUGGAGCUCAGAAAAUGAGAAGCACUUCGUUAGAGGCCUCCAGUUCGAUACAAGAAACUCGCUACUCUGUAAAUCCCUGAUAAAGACAGAAAUAGAAGUGGUGUGUAGCCAACAGGAUGCAUUUGCGGUAGCCUCCCAACAUCCCCUAUCCCUCCCUCCCCCCGAGGCUGCUGCUGGCUUUUGGUGGGGCCUGGGUGCCAGAAGAGGGAGCACGGAACACGGCAGAGCCCCAGCCUGAAUGUCGCUGCUGCUGCCUCAGAUCUGUUGGAACUGGAGUCCAGGAGUUGAGCGUCGUUUCUCAGAAAAUGUUGGAUCAUCUCUUAAAACUGGAGUACUAGUGUUCUGUGUCAUGUCUUAUGGAUUUUAAAAGUGCUGCUUAGACCUCAGCAGAUCUUGAUCCUGACCAAGGACACUAUCAACCAUCAAGGCUGAGCAACAAACUGCACUUGGUGCCUCUGGAACCAUGCUCAUCUGGAUCUUGGUUCCUGGCUCAUGCGAAACACUGUCUCUCCUUCCUUGGGUUUUUUAGGUGUAUACCCUGGGAGACCGUGUACCUACAGGUUCCAGAUUAAUGGAAAUGAAUGUGGCUGGCUGGACUCUUCACCUCACCCAGGCUUAUGUCAAACCUCGUUCCUCCCUUCACCUUUCUCACUGGACACAAGGGAAGCAGAUAUAUGCAAUUGAUAUUUUUAUUUGUCAUUGAAAUAGCUAUGUUUGGGUCCAUUGAUAUGUGAAUUUAGGUGACCUUGCAAGCUGCAACAGUAGAAAUUGAUGCACUGUAAAGGUAUAGGCACUUAAUCAAUGAACGGGGAAAUGAGACAAAAUUUUGGAGGCUUCACUAGAAUGUCAAUUCUAGACUUGGAUACCUAUGCUCCUGCACAUAUACAUGCCCUGUAGAUUUCAGUAUAGGGUAGAGGUAUCUGAAGUUAGCUUUAAAUAAAAUUGUUCGGUUAUUGGAAGGGAACUGGCUUCAGUAACAGUCCACUCUGUCCACAGAAGGUACUGGCAAGAUGCUCUGUCUUCCCAAAAUCGUGUAGCUUCUACUUUUUGGAGUUAAUAGCUUAAAGCAAGACUAAUAGGACUGGGAUUUUUCAGACUAUGAUUCACAGCAAAGUCCUGGAACAUAUUACAACAUUGAGUGUUAGCAAGGCAAAAACUCAUUGUUAUCCAUAAAAAAAGAUAAACAGUGGCCCAGCCCACCGAAAACUGCACCAUCCAGCAACCUCUUGAUGUACCUAAAUUUUCCAUGGCUGUAGCUCUUUAGAAUGUGUUUAUAUGAAAAACACAGUAAAAUGAAAAUAAGUUUGAUAAACUGCAAUCAGUAUUUUUUUUUUAACUGAGAAGCUUGAAAGGAAAUAGAUAGUUGCAAGAAGCAAAAAUCUUCACAGAUUUUUUUUUAUAUUUUUAAAAUCAGGACCUCUAUUCUGGCCAUUCAUGUUCUCUAACGAAGCUCAGGCACAUAUUCAGAGUGGUUUUACAGGUACGUUUCCUUACAUUCAAUAGACACAAUAGAUUUUAAACAGUUUCAUAGCAACAGAUGGUUCAUUAUGACCAUUAACCCAGAUAAGUGAGUGUCAGUUUGGCACAUCCUUAAUGGUCUAUAGUGGUCUGUGGGUAAAAAAUUAUUUCUCUUCAUCUGAGUACCUUCCUGAGAGGUACUUUUUCAGUUUUGGUUUUGGCUCUGCUUUUUUCCUCCUUUUUAAAAUUUUUUUUAUUUUUUUAUUUAUUUUUUAUUUUUUAUUUUUUUUUUACAAAGCAGGUUCAUGUGAAUUCUUGCAUUCAGGAAAAAAAAUUGCACCCAAGAGCUUUGUGGUAAGAACAUUUACCACAAAAAAAAAUAUUUGUUUCUCUGAAAUGUAGUAGCCAUAGUAUAUCUGAUCAGAAAUUUUAAAAGUUGAAUAUAUACCUUGACAACAGCUAAACAGACAAUCCUAAAUAGCAGAUAUUUUUAAAUGACUGUUGCUACACCCAUUGGAAUUUAGAAAGGCACUUUCAUUUGCUGGUUUUAUUAUUAAAUCCCUCUAUGCUGCUGGGACAUGUCAUAGCUCUUCGGUGAGAUAAAAUACUAUUAAUGGCAUGGUAGAGGAGGAACCCACUGCAAUACCUGAUGAUGGAGCUGACACAAAGCCUUGGGAAGAGCAGAACCCAAGCAUUCUGGGAAGUUCAGAGCUGGAAUGUAAGGAUCAAAGCUGGUGUGCUGUGUUCCCCAGAGCCACAGAUAUCUUUGCACCAGACAGUUGUGUCGGCAGAGGCUUCUGAUGGUGGCACAGCAUUUGCUGUUGGGGGAAGACACCACCUCUCAGAGUGGCGUAAGUUUGGCAUAUGUAGCUCAUGCCUCCUGCUCUUAGAGAACAUGGUGUGUAAUCUGGGGCUCAUGGUUUACUUACCCCACAUGUUUGCCUUCAGUGAUGUAGUUAUGUAGGAAGACUUGCAGCACACGUGUGGGCUUAUUUCCAUCCCUGAGAUUCAGCUAGGGUUUACUAUACAGUAACAGAAACCCGUGUUUGAAAAAUAGUGCUUUAAUAUACUGUGUCACCCUACAUAAUAUUUCAGACUGAUUCUCUGUUGAUGCAUAUUUGCAUGAACCUGAAUGAGAUCCCCUCUCUGUCAUCUCUUCUUCAAGCUAACUAGGCCCAAUUCGCUUAGCCUAUCGUCUUAAGAGGAUAGUAUCACUCCUGAAUAAUGCUCCCUUUCCCUUGUCACCUUUAUAGCCCUCUGCUGGACCCUCUCUAGUAGUUCCUUGUCUUUCUGUUAUCCUUGUCUUUCUGUUAUCCUUGUCUUUCUUGAUUUGACAUCAAGUAUCUUCUUGUGCAUGGGUUUAUCUGCUUGUUUGAGAUGCACAUAUGUGUGUGUGUGUGUCCAUGUGCGGCUGAAGUUAAUUAAUUUUUCCUUGUUUCUUCUUGGUCACCAUCCACACUUACUCAUACCACACACCAGAUCUUAAUAGUGGUUGCCAUGUAGCUGAAAAUGAGCUGGGCUUUUAAGGAACCUGCCUGUACUUUGUUGGCUACUGUGGGAUAGUAAGGGAUUGUCUUGGCCUAGCAAAAGGUAUUUGUGUUUGUUAGAUAGAAAAAAGACAGUAAAAACCUUCUAAAAGUUAAUGUGUUGGAUUUAUGUGACUAUAGAGGAUCAUGAGAAUGCUUUGGUCAUAAACAGUAAGGAACUUUUAAUGAGACGUUUUUGAAGUUAGUUUGGACUACAAUUGUAAUAUCUUUAGUGGUCAUCAUGUUUUUAAAAUAAUUUUAAAAGUUUACCAUGAUCUUAACAAGUUACUAAAAUAGAAUUAUGUAAAAAUAAAUGAAUUUAUGUUAGACUGAUGAAAUAAGAUAUUUUAGAAGAGCAGUGGAAUACACAAGUAUAUAAGCAAAACAAUUUUAGUAUGUUUAAGAAAUAAUUCUUCAGACUUUUUCCCAAGAUGACACCUUUGCUUUCUGUGAAUCAGCUUGUCCUGUCAGUGUAAAAAUGCUGUGUCUUUAAACCAUUAUUGGUGUUGUAGUCUAGGAAUGGCAUUUCCCAGUUUAGUGUUCUCACUGAAAGACUCUAAACCAUGUGCUGCUCACCCUGUUCCACUCUCCCUCCCCUGUGGAGGGAUGGAGAGGAGAAUUGGAAGCGCAAAAAGUAAACAUCACAAAUUGAGAUAAGUGCAAUUUACUGGAAACAGCCAUGAAAUAAAAAAACCACCCCUACAGUGAACGGUAAUGGUAACAAUAUCAAACAUGAAUGCUCACCACGCAGAACCCCAACAACACCCAACCACUCCCUCCACCACACCCAGAGGGGACCCCUUUCCCCUGGGAAAUCAUGUGAGGUGGUACGGAAUAACCUCUGGGUCCAGCCCAUGUCCCUCUUGGUUACUGCAACAGCUAACCCUGUCCCUUGCCCGAACCAGGACAAAUUCGGGGUGAGAAACCUCUUGCAAUGCCCUACCUCCACUCUACUUAUUUUUACUGAGCAGGGACAUGUGCAACUAACAAACGUAUCAAGUGUCCAUUAAAAUUCAUACAGUCUCAGUUGGAUCUGGUGGUAUAACGUCUUUAACAUCUCUGUGACUUCCACUGUUGUUCUAGGUUUGGUUCAAAUUGUCCAAGAGGUUGAAAAAUUACCAGGGAAAUUGGGGUAAUAGUUGAGUGAAUGGAUAAUGUGCCUGCCUCAUCUCCUUAGGACAUUAUACAACAAAAUGAAAAAUCUGCUGGAUGGGGACAUCUUCAAUAUUUAGCAGUAUAGAUGUUUUGUUUCAGUUGUUAAUCUUACUGCUAGUUUGUGGAGAGAAUUAAGUUUGCUUAGCAGCAAAUAUAGCUAAUUAGUCUUCAUCAUGCUUGGCUUUUUCGUUGGAAAACAAAUAAGAGUUAAACUGAAAAUAUUCUAUCUUGAGUUAUCUGUAGUUAGCAUUUCUGAUCAGAACAUCCAGUUCUUUCUUCUCUCUUUCCUUUUAAAAUUAUGUUUUUAUUUCAACCACUUUCUACCAGCAGGCAAAACUGCUGUUACACCAUACCCAGCUGUGAAAUCAAUAUGAUUUUCAUUACAAAGAUAACAGAAACUCUCUUAGAAAGUCUGUGAAUUGCCAAAGGUCAAAUAACAGUCAGUGGCACAGCUUAGAAUUUAGAUGCACUAAUUAAAAAAUUCUGUGGUAUAAAUAUAUUAAUGAAAUGCACCCUGAGAAAUGUUUGCAUUUAAGAUGGCAACAAUUUUAAGGUAUUACAUUGUUUCUUUAAUUACUGUAGUUCAUGUAGAUCACAUCAAACUGUGAUGGGUUCUUUCUCUGGUUGAUGAUAAUUUCUUAUAAAAAUAGGUAUUAGCUCUUGUUCCCUCUUUUAAUUCACAAAUAUUUGAGCUUGAUUAGACUAGAAAGUGUAACAGGCACAGAAGACAGAAAAUAUCUAGUAUGAUUUCUGUCAUAUUGAACACUAAAAAUUACUCCAAAUGAAUGGGUGCAUCAGUUAUUUCUGAGAUAUAUGACUUCAUGAGGAACAAGAGGAAGUGCACCAUCAAACUGAAAGCAGUACUUGUCUUUCAGCCGAAGCAGCCUGUUCUAUUAAAUUAAAACAAGGAUUUUAAAAUAAAUGUUAUUACUCUUUCCAAGAUCAUCCUUGAUCUCUUUUAAACCUCAGUUUUUUCAGCAGUUAAGUUACAUUUGCCUGAUUACAAAAGAAAAUAUCAGGAAAUAAAUUCUUUUACUUCUUGUAUUUGUUUGAUAUUCCUCUCUCACAUCUCUCUAUUUUUAUUUAAAUUCUGCCUUUUCCAUGCCAUGUGCUAAAACAGUAAACUCAGAUUGCCAGUUAUUGUGGGUUUUAAUAGAAAAUUUCCUCACUUUAUAGCUGAGGGUUUUUUGCGUUACUGUGCUCCCUCUGCUGGAUAGUGCCUGUUAAUUUUUUGUUCCCUGAGCUGUACUAGUAUCCAUGUUCUGUAAACAAGCAAUCACACUGCCUUAAAGAAAGAGGUAUAAAAAGAGGGAAUGCGUCAUUUUGAUCUCAGAUAACAUGGAAGGUGACAUGUGUAGACUAGGAGAAAUCCUAUUGUCAGGCAGCUCAAAAAGCCUUCAGCAGACAUUUGAGGAAUAAUAAUUUACUAUCUCUUGAGCAAUACUGGAUGGACACUAAAUAACUUUCUUUCAUUUGUAUAACUUGGAGAAGGUGAUGUUGCUUCUCGUACUUUGGUAAGUACAACAGUAUCCUCAGAUGUCCCUGUAAUGUUAUUAGUGUCUCAGUCUUAGUGGCAUGGUUCUCAUAAAUUGCUUCAUCCUUUGGCGAAUCUUACAGAGUCACUGCUGAGCCAGUGUUUGCUCAGUGGAGAAAGCAAACAUGCUCUCAUGCUCCAUGCCAACCCCACAGCAAGGUGGUGAGAAUACAAUCCUUUCCUGUCCCCACUGCAGUGGGGCAAAAAGGAGGAAGAGCAAUACUUCAGUUUUGUCUCUAGAGGUGAUUUUGGUCUUUGAGGAAUUUGACUUCAUGCGUUGCUUUGAGCUUGUUCUUGUGCUCAUCCCACUGCUGUCACACCGUAAACCAACCUUCCUUCCUUCCUUCCUUCCUUCCUUCCUUCCUUCCUUC